rnacentral:rRNA from 1 species
AACGAACGCUGGCGGCGUGCCUAACACAUGCAAGUCGAGCGAGAAAGUAGCAAUACGAGUACAGCGGCGAACGGGUGAGUAACGCGUAGGUAAUCUACCUAGUAUUGGGGGAUAACAGCCCGAAAGGGCUGCUAAUACCGCAUACGAAGUCGGGUCGAUGGAUCUGACUUGAAAGGGGGCUCUCGCAAGAGGCUUUUGAUACUAGAUGAGCCUGCGUCCCAUUAGCUAGUUGGUAGGGUAAUGGCCUACCAAGGCUACGAUGGGUAGCUGGUCUGAG